rnacentral:tRNA from 1 species
GGCCCGUUGGUCUAGUGGUAUGAUACUCGCUUUGGGUGUGAGUGGUCCCGGGUUCAAAUCCCGGAAGGGCCC